GAUGAAGAACGCAGCGAAAUGCGAUAAGUAAUGUGAAUUGCAGAAUUCAGUGAAUCAUCGAAUCUUUGAACGCACAUUGCGCCCCCUGGUAUUCCGGGGGGCAUGCCUGUUCGAGCGUCAUUUCACCACUCAAGCCUCGCUUGGUAUUGGGCAACGCGGUCCGCCGCGUGCCUCAAAUCGACCGGCUGGGUCUUCUGUCCCCUAAGCGUUGUGGAAACUAUUCGCUAAAGGGUGCUCGGGAGGCUACGCCGUAAAACAAACCCAUUUCUAAGGUUGACCUCGGAUCAGGUAGGGAUACUCGCUGAACUUAAGCAUAUCAAUAAGCGGAGGA
rnacentral:misc_RNA from 1 species